GACCCUAUGCAGCUUCUACUGUAGUUAGUUAUCACAUUCUCAUAAACUUUGUGUAGCGUAUAAGGUUAAUGUUUGUUUUAAAAACAAAAAGUCGAUAGACACAGUUGAAACACCUUUCUUGGUUUUAUGUUAAUGUUCACCUAAUUUUUCUUCCAAUGGUUAGGGAUAAAUGACUAAUUGGCAGUUUGUCUGGGGCGGACGUCUUUAAUAGAGUAUCAGAGACAUCCACAAGGUAUGUCUUAAAUUGGAUGGAGACCAAGCAAGCCGUGAACGGUAUAAUAAGGUAUAAUGACUUAAGCAUGCUUAACUGAGAGACCUAUAAGUCAAACAGAUACGUAAGUAGGGCAUAAUGAUCCGGCGGUAUAUAAUGGAAUAGCCGUCGCACAAUAGAUAAAAGUUAC
rnacentral:rRNA from 1 species